CCAUCUGUAUCACCAGAUGACCCUAAGACUCUGAAUAAAGUAGCGAGUCUGACAAUGUAACGAUAUUUGGCUUAUGUCAAAUGGGAACUGAAUCGUGAGAGGACGUUCUUCCUGAUAACCACAAUCGGGUAAGUGC
rfam:Shewanella piezotolerans WP3, complete genome.